GCAUAUCAAUAAGCGGAGGAAAAGAAAAUAACAAUGAUUUCCCUAGUAACUGCGAGUGAAGAGGGACAAGCUCAAAUUUUAAAUCUGUCGGGUUCUCCUGACCGAGUUGUAAUUUGAAGAAGCGUUUUCUGCGCUGUUUGAUCAGCCCAAGUCUUAUUGAAUGAGGCAUCAUGGAGGGUGAUAAUCCCGUUCGGCUGAUCAUUGUGCUAUACGAUACGCUCUCAAAGAGUCAAGUUGUUUGGGGUUGCAGCUUAAAAUGGGAGGUAAAUUUCUCCUAAGGCUAAAUAUUGGCGAGAGACCGAUAGCGAACAAGUACCGUGAGGGAAAGAUGAAAAGAACUUUGAAAAGAGAGUUAAACAGUACGUGAAAUUGUUGAAAGGGGAAACGAUUGAAGCCAGUUAAGUCGGUGGGAAAUCAGCUUCCGGAUUUCUCUGGAGGUGCACUUUCUCGCAGGGCAAGUCAGCAUCAGUUUCGCCAGUCGUAAAAAGUCCGUCAGAAUGUGACUCCUUUCGGAGUGUUAUAACUAACGGUCAAUGCGAUGUGCGAGAUUGAGGAUUGCAAUGAGUGUCUUGCGGGGCUAAGUUUUCGGGUUCUUUGUGAUUGUCUUGGUAACAGCAUGCUGGGUGUCAAGUCGAUUUGCGAGAACGAGAAUUUAGCGUCGUAAAUUCGUUAAGGAUGUUGACGUA
rnacentral:rRNA from 1 species